GUAGGUGAACCUGCGGAAGGAUCAUUAUCAAUUUUCAACACGGGGGGCGUAGAAAUACGCUCCCACGGUUGUCACACCCUUUGUCUUUUGCGUACUGUAUGUUUCCUCGGUGGGCUCGCCCGCCGACAGGACAUUUUCACACCCUUUGUAAUUGCAAUCAGCGUCAGUGAAAAAUUAUAAUAGUUAAAACUUUCAACAACGGAUCUCUUGGUUCUG
rnacentral:misc_RNA from 1 species